GGGGGACGGAGAAGGCUAUGUUGGCCGGGCGACGGUUGUCCCGGUUUAAGCGUGUAGGUGUGUGUUCCAGGUAAAUCCGGUUCACUUUAACACUGAGGCGUGAUGACGAGGCACUACGGUGCUGAAGCAACAAAUGCCCUGCUUCCAGGAAAAGCCUCUAAGCAUCAGGUAACAUCAAAUCGUACCCCAAACCGACACAGGUGGUCAGGUAGAGAAUACCAAGGCGCUUGAGAGAACUCGGGUGAAGGAACUAGGCAAAAUGGUGCCGUAACUUCGGGAGAAGGCACGCUGACACGUAGGUGAAGUGAUUUACUCA
rnacentral:rRNA from 1 species